AUUAUUAAUAUUGCUUUCUUUUGUUUACAGGAACAGAAGAAAGUAUGGGAUGCUGCCGGAAGCGCGAGAGACGCAUCGGGAUCGGAGGUCAAUUAAUUCAUAAUGUCAACUCACACAAAACUGCAUCUGAGCCAAGCGUGAAUUCGCGCGAAACGAUUCUGCGAGGUAAUACUUCGUGAAGUAGAGAAACCUCGGCGUACAUCGAGGAAACUGCCGAGGAGGUGAAGGGCGAGGAGGGAACCGGAGGUCGAUCGAGGUCCCGAUGGAGCGCGAUGACUGAAGGACUGAAACAGUGUACAACACAAGGAGCAGACUUCGGGAAAAAUAUCAAUCUGGAGAUUGAAACGUAAAAGGCCAGCAAAGGAUUCGGAGCUAUCCCGGCAAAGGGCUAAGGUGAUCGACGAGCAGAAAAAAAGGCAAAUCGUAUGGUUUGAUUACACGACAAAGGAGAAGACAGCAGCUCUCUCCAGAAAACCAAGCCGGCAUAAUGUUCUGCUCCUUCGAGGCAGUGUCUCCUCCUGCGGCAUUCGUUUUCUCCUCCUGGGUUUUUGACCCCGCGGGCCCGCCGGGUUAGAUUCCUACGCGGUGCCCUCGCGUACACAAUGCGAGUUAUUGCACAGCAUCUGCAGG
rnacentral:lncRNA from 1 species